rnacentral:rRNA from 1 species
AACGAACGCUGGCGGCAGGCUUAACACAUGCAAGUCGAACGCACCUUUCGGGGUGAGUGGCAGACGGGUGAGUAACGCGUGGGAAUCUACCCUUCUCUACGGGAUAGCUCCGGGAAACUGGAAUUAAUACCGUAUACGUCCUGAGGGAGAAAGAUUUAUCGGGGAAGGAUGAGCCCGCGUUGGAUUAGCUAGUUGGUGUGGUAAAGGCCUACCAAGGCGACGAUCCAUAGCUGGUCUAAGAGGAUGAUCAGCCACAUUGGGACUGAGACACGGCCCAAACUCCUACGGGAGGCAGCAAUGGCUAAUACUGGCAUAUCGGCGCAAGCAUGAUCCAGCCAUGCCGCGUGAGUGAUGAAGGCCCUAGGGUUGUAAAGCUCUUUCAGUGGGGACGAUAAUGACGGUACCCAAAGAAGAAGCCCCGGCUAACUUCGUG